GAUGAACGCUGGCGGCGUGCCUAAUACAUGCAAGUCGAGCGAACAGACGAGGAGCUUGCUCCUCUGACGUUAGCGGCGGACGGGUGAGUAACACGUGGAUAACCUACCUAUAAGCCUGGGAUAACUUCGGGAAACCGGAGCUAAUACCGGAUAAUAUAUUGAACCGCAUGGUUCAAUAGUGAAAGACGGUUUUGCUGUCACUUAUAGAUGGAUCCGCGCCGCAUUAGCUAGUUGGUAAGGUAACGGCUUACCAAGGCAACGAUGCGUAGCCGACCUGAGAGGGUGAUCGGCCACACUGGAACUGAGACACGGUCCAGACUCCUACGGGAGGCAGCAGUAGGGAAUCUUCCGCAAAGGGCGAAAGCUUGACGGAGCAACGCCGCGUGAGUGAUGAAGGUCUUCGGAUCGUAAAACUCUGUUAUUAGGGAAGAACAAAUGUGUAAGUAACUAUGCACGUCUUGACGGUACCUAAUCAGAAAGCCACGGCUAACUACGUG
rnacentral:rRNA from 1 species